rnacentral:tRNA from 1 species
GGGCAGUUAGUUUAAAAAAAACAUUUGAUUUCGGCUCAAAAGCUUAUGGUUAAAGUCCAUAAUCGUCCU